GACUUUGAGCCUUAAGUGCUACUUUGGAAACAAAAAUUUGGUUUGGUGCUAUCCUAGUCUUUUUUUCUUUUAAAAUAUUAUAAAUAAAAACAUAAAAUUGAAAUAGAAAAUCUUAUAAUUAUAUUAUAUAUAAUAUGGUUCACUAUAUUAGAAUCCUAAAUUUUAACAUGAAUGGGAAAGUUUUUUUUCAAAUAAUAUUAUAUAGAUUAUGACCUAAUGCAUAAGGAACAAAGAACAUAGUUAAAUGAGCUAAAAUUUAUCAUUUCCAGAGUAUGGAUUUUGAUCGUUUUACAUAUGAGAUAUAUAUAUACAUAGUAGGCUAGGUCCGCGCUACCCGCGGAAUGUGCUUUAUAUGUGAUGUAUAUAAGUAUGUAAUUGUGUAUAUUUUGUGUGUAUGUUAUGUAAGGUGCGAAGAGAUUAUGUAUGUUAAAAUUAAUUAUGUUUUGUUUAUCAAUAGAUUGCAAAGUAUAACAUAUAUAUAUAGGGUAGAUGAGGUGUAUGUGGUGCUCUCAUUGUAUAUUUUUGAUAAUUUUGAAUCCAAAAUUGGUUGAUUAAUAUUGAUUUGCUAUAUUUUAGGUUUUUAAGAAUAGGUGUGUGGUUCUUAUGAUUAUUAUUUGUAUGAAUGGAUUGAGGUCAACAUGAUUGUAUUUUGUUACGGUAUAGGUUAAGCUGAAUAUGAUUUUUAAGAACUGAGUAAAACAGUGAAGGUGAAAAUUUAAUUGUUUACAUUAUAAACUAACACUUAAAUAUAUAAUUAUAUAAAAAAUUUCAAAAUUUUUAUUGGUUUAAGGUCGUUGCAUAGAUGUAAAGCAUAUACCUUAGAUGCAUAAUUAAUCCACGUCUUUUGAAGCUCCAAUUAUAUUUUUUAAAAUAUUAUGUAAAUUGUUUAGUUUUUUAUUUUCUUUUAGUUUCUUAGUUUCUUAGUUUUUACAGUUUUUAUUGAAUAUUUGUUAGUUCUUUGUAAAUGAACAGUAUUAUUUUCAAAUGUUUUAUUCUUAACUGUAGAUAAUUUAAUAUUUAAAAUAAGGUUAUAUUUUAUAGAACAAAAAAAUAUUCAUCUAACAAUAAAAACGAUGAAGAUAGAUAUAAAUUAUUUUUUCUUCCAUAUCGUUAAACUCUCCUUAUUUAUAUUGGGAUGAUGGAUUUUUAUGUACUCUAACAAUUUUUUAUAAAUUUUUAUAACUUUUUAAAAUAUUUAUAAAUUUAGUUGUUUUGUAUGAUCAUAUGAUGUCACGAUAAUAUUUGAAAUGUUUUUACUUCAAAGAUUAACUAUUUUGAAAUCUAUAAAAAAAAAUUAUGUGUAUAUUCCAAGACAAAAUUUAUUUUAGUUUAACAUAUUUUCAAACGAUCAUUUAUACUCCAUUUGUUUCAACGUAGAUGAUUUUUAGGUGAUUGUUUUUGUAUUACAAUAGAUGAUGUUUUCUCAUAUCUAGGUAACUUUAAAUUUAUCAAAAUUGUGUAGCCAAUUGUAUUAUUACUAUUUUUGUAUAUAAUUAAAUAAAUUAGUAUAAAAAUGUAUGUUCAAUAAUUUUUUCUUAAUAUGUGUGCAAAGAGCUAAAACUUCAUCUACUAUGGAACGGAGUGAGUAUAAUUUAGAUCGAUACUUUAAAAUGUUUAUAAUUUUUUUUUGCAUAUUGUUUUUGUAUUUUAUGUUUACUAAAUACUACAUUAAGCUAUGUGACUGAUUUUCUUUCUAUAUAUAAAAUGGUUUAAUUUGAUAGUAAGUGAGAAUUAAUAUUUUUGUUUGGUUAUUUCACGUUUGUUUACAUGAUUUUCUAGCUAAAAGGUCCACAAAAGAGUUGCUAGACCAUUUCACAAUAAGAGGAUAUUUACAUAUAAAUGUGGUGUAGAAAUAUGUCCUCAAGUGGUAGUGACACUAAUUAAUGGCAUACUUUUUAAAUUAAACAACUUAUAUAUAUAUAUAUAUAUAUAUAUAUAUAUAUCAAUUUUUUAUUUGUUAGAAAAAUAUGUUAAAAAUCAUUUUAAACAUAAUUUAAAUAGCAAACAAAAUUUUGAAAACAACAUAUGUCAGCUAUUGAACUUUAAAAUUAAAAUAAUGUGACAUACGCUCUUUAUGAAAAUAUUAUUAUUAAGUUCGUUCUCUUAGAAUAGUCUUAAAAUAU